CCGGGUCAUUGAGCCACCUCUCCAUGGUUGCUGCUCCGUUUGUGUUCCCCUCGGCGUCAAGCGCGCAGCCACCUUCAGAUCAAAAUCGAGUCCAUUGUAAGUAUCAGAAUCAACCCGCUCUCUGCUCCAGUCCUACUGCAACUUAGAUCGGCACUGAGGCACGGCAUCGGCGGCGGCUCCGGGACCGCGGCGCGGCGUCCAUGGCGAGGACGUGCGCCGGUGGUGAGCGGCCGAGCGGCGGUCCCAGCCGCGUGUGCUGGUGGCCGCGCAGAGCACGGGACUCCCGUGUCCGCGGGUGUGCGCACGGAGGCCCGUGGCCGUGAAGUGACCAGUGCUGCGCUCGGCGUUCGCGUCCUGCAACAAGGAAAGCGGCGAGCGGCUCGACGGCCGGACAGAGGCGCCGUGCAAGAGGGCGGGCGGUGUUGCUCGUUUACCUUAGGGAUUGUGGACGGAAGGCGUGACGCGGUGGCGAAGCGAUGCUGUGACGAGGACGAAGACGUGAUCGCGGUUCGACUUGGCGUCGGCGGCGAGCAGCUCCUCCGCGCGACGCAGGGACAGCUCCGGCUCGGGCGGGGUGAGGUUGCCUCCUCCUCCUCCUUUUUCCCCUCCCUCCUCUGUGUCGUGUGGCGGC
rnacentral:lncRNA from 1 species